rnacentral:lncRNA from 1 species
AAGUAGAAAAUUGGGGUGUACACGGGCUUAGAUAAAAAAAAACUAGCCCAAUAAUAAUCUUCUACUACUAAUCAUAAUAAUAUAAAACAUAAAACUAAUAACAAAAAAGUAAACUAAAAAAAAACAAAGAAAAUAUAUAGACUUUUCAAAGCACUCUCUUUAUAAAGAGACAAAACGCUUACUAAUGGAUAACACGUGAAGCUUCGAGUGGAAAUUUUCUCUCCAUCUCCUUCAAGAAUUAACACAACUCAUACCCUUCAUUCAACAAACAAAACACAUAAAAUUACAAGACAACAACAUAUCAAGAAUGAGAAACAAGGAAGCUAACCAAAAUGAAAGACCGGAGGAGAUGCGAAGGAAGAGCAGUGAGUUGCGUUUGUGAUGGUGGAUUCACGGUUGAGUUGUGGUUUUGCUUGCAAGGUCCGCUUCAUGUUGGUGCUUCAUGUGGUAGUCAGAAGUAUCGUCAGAAGUGAAAGGAUCUAACAUUGUCUUUGAUUUUGCUUAUGACUUUGUCUUUCCUUUUGUUUGGGAUAUUGUUGUUAGUAAUUUAUGUUGAAGAAGAUGAAUGGAAAUGAUGUAAGAUGGUGUAAGUUUGUGUGGUCAUGGAGAAAGUAUGUGCAUGGUGUUAUGGUGAAGUUUGGAGAGGGACAUGGAAAGGGGUUAUGUGAAGUUUUUGUUGGUAAAGUAGAAUAAAAGAAUUAAGGUGAGGUUAUAUUUUUGUAGUUGAUGAUUUUGUUGAGAAAAAAAUUAUAAGUAUAAAGUUAGUAAUAUGAUUUUCAUAUGAAUGGGUUUAUGUUGAUGAGAAGAAGAAGAUGAGAUAUGGAAAAGAUGAUUUUCAUUUUUUUACUACAUCUUUUAUUUGCUUCUUUAGUGAGAGAGAAACUAUGGUACAAUUUUUGUAUGUGGUUGCAAAAGGGAGGUUGAUAUGGAGUUUAAUGUGAUGAGAGGGAGAAAAUCAAGUCUAAAGAAUUAAGAGAGAGGUUAGAAUGUAUUGUUGUAAAGGUGAUGAAAAAUGGUCUCUUGGUGAUGGUUGUAGGUUAUUUUUUUUAUUUUCUUCUCUUAUUCAAAUGGCGGAG